UUUCCCUUUUUACAAGCUUACGAGAGAAAGGUUUUGAAGGGUUUGGGGUCUUGAAUCAGAGCAGAAAAGGAGAAGAGAGUACAAGAGAUAAAGAAGUGAAAGUACAGUAGUUGAUGGGAGUCUUUUGGUUACCUUGACUGGAAAACCCUUCGUGGCCAUUUACUGUAAAUGGGUUAGGAACCCUCUCUCACUUAAAGAGAUGAUCCAGGACUUUCAUAUAUGUUUUAGCCAGUAGAUCUGAAAGUAGAUAGAUUAUGCAUGUAUAAACUACACAUAGAAACAUCCAGCCCAAAGCGGAAGGUUUUAGAAAAUACUUAGGCCUAGAUUCAAUCAGAUCAAGCUUUAACCGGCAAUAGUAGACACCCGCAUAGCAGAUGUUUUGGCAUGCCAGUGGUGGAACUGCCUUGAAGCCGUCAAUUUGCAUUCUACCAGAGGCCUCACAAACACUUCAAGACACUUGUGAAACGAUGAGACUCGUCUUUUCCAUAAUCAUCAUAGAUCAUCUCCGCCACUGAGGAUUUGAGACACAAUGGAGAGAAGCAUCUGUAACACUUUGUGACGUUUCCUACACUCAAGAAAACUAUGCUGCACCAUGUGGCUGCUGAACCAUGUGGCUGCUUCCCCCAUUUCUUUGAUCUCCUCAAAGAUGAAAUGUGUUGCAUGUUUUGCUAUGAUGAGUCGGUUAGUUUGCGAGCUGAUUAGUGUGUGGUACUGAUAUGAAUCAUGUCAGGGUGUCAUCUCAAUCCAGAGGAGGGACAAUAUGAUACCCCUCCAUGCAUUAAGGGUGGAUUAGAAUGCCUAAACAUAGUGAAUACAGUCAUAUACUGUAAAUCAUAUCAAUGAGUAGUUGAUAUAUAUAUAUAUAUGUUAUGUGCUUUGCUUCUGAAGUCUAUCUUUGGUAAUAAAUAUAGUUGUAAAUCUC